GAUGAACGCUGGCGGCGUGCCUAAUACAUGCAAGUCGAGCGAACGGACGAGAAGCUUGCUUCUCUGAUGUUAGCGGCGGACGGGUGAGUAACACGUGGAUAACCUACCUAUAAGACUGGGAUAACUUCGGGAAACCGGAGCUAAUACCGGAUAAUAUUUUGAACUGCAUGGUUCAAAAGUGAAAGACGGUCUUGCUGUCACUUAUAGAUGGAUCCGCGCUGCAUUAGCUAGUUGGUAAGGUAACGGCUUACCAAGGCAACGAUGCAUAGCCGACCUGAGAGGGUGAUCGGCCACACUGGAACUGAGACACGGUCCAGACUCCUACGGGAGGCAGCAGUAGGGAAUCUUCCGCAAUGGGCGAAAGCCUGACGGAGCAACGCCGCGUGAGUGAUGAAGGUCUUCGGAUCGUAAAGCUCUGUUAUUAGGGAAGAACAUAUGUGUAAGUAACUGUGCACAUCUUGACGGUACCUAAUCAGAAAGCCACGGCUAACUACGUGCCAGCAGCCGCGGUAAUACGUAGGUGGCAAGCGUUAUCCGGAAUUAUUGGGCGUAAAGCGCGCGUAGGCGGUUUUUUAAGUCUGAUGUGAAAGCCCACGGCUCAACCGUGGAGGGUCAUUGGAAACUGGAAAACUUGAGUGCAGAAGAGGAAAGUGGAAUUCCAUGUGUAGCGGUGAAAUGCGCAGAGAUAUGGAGGAACACCAGUGGCGAAGGCGACUUUCUGGUCUGUAACUGACGCUGAUGUGCGAAAGCGUGGGGAUCAAACAGGAUUAGAUACCCUGGUAGUCCACGCCGUAAACGAUGAGUGCUAAGUGUUAGGGGGUUUCCGCCCCUUAGUGCUGCAGCUAACGCAUUAAGCACUCCGCCUGGGGAGUACGACCGCAAGGUUGAAACUCAAAGGAAUUGACGGGGACCCGCACAAGCGGUGGAGCAUGUGGUUUAAUUCGAAGCAACGCGAAGAACCUUACCAAAUCUUGACAUCCUUUGACAACUCUAGAGAUAGAGCCUUCCCCUUCGGGGGACAAGGUGACAGGUGGUGCAUGGUUGUCGUCAGCUCGUGUCGUGAGAUGUUGGGUUAAGUCCCGCAACGAGCGCAACCCUUAAGCUUAGUUGCCAUCAUUAAGUUGGGCACUCUAAGUUGACUGCCGGUGACAAACCGGAGGAAGGUGGGGAUGACGUCAAAUCAUCAUGCCCCUUAUGAUUUGGGCUACACACGUGCUACAAUGGACAAUACAAAGGGCAGCGAAACCGCGAGGUCAAGCAAAUCCCAUAAAGUUGUUCUCAGUUCGGAUUGUAGUCUGCAACUCGACUACAUGAAGCUGGAAUCGCUAGUAAUCGUAGACCAGCAUGCUACGGUGAAUACGUUCCCGGGUCU
rnacentral:rRNA from 1 species